rnacentral:rRNA from 1 species
UACGUAGGUGACAAGCGUUGUCCGGAUUUACUGGGCGUAAAGAGCGCGCAGGCGGUCGUUCAAGUCGCGUGUGAAAGCCCCCGGCUCCAACUGGGGAGGGUCACGCGAUACUGAUCGACUCGAAGGCAGGAGAGGUAGUGGAAUUCCCGGUGUAGUGGUGAAAUGCGUAGAUAUCGGGAGGAACACCUGAGGCGAAGGCGGGACU